AAUAGAAUAUGUGUUGAUUUCAGAUGUGCUACUCCAGCUUCAUCAAGAUUUGCCAAUAAUAACAAUAAUGAUGAUGCACUAGUUCCAGCAACUAAGAAUAUCAAUAGGCCUAGUAUGGUGGUGAAUGUGAAGGUCUUGAAGAAGCUCUUCUCUGUUAACAACUUUCAAAAGAAACCAAGAAGGAGAGUAAGAUAAUUAUCCUUUUCCUGUGGUGAUUUAUGUCAAUCAGUUGGAGGAUGGCUGGCUAUACUUUCUGUUUCUGGUUUUACAGCUAUAGCUGUAAGAAAGGCUGUGAAGACCGAAAUGAUCGAUCCUGAGCCUAUGGAAAAGCCCCCUCCAUUGCUGUCCAAGCAGGGGUAUGAUGCUGCUCUAGGUAUUGUUGAAAUUUUGACAAUACAGAUAUGUUUGGUUGAAGGUUUAGGGUCCAUGGAUGAGCUCCCUUUUUAACUUCACCUAAAGUCAUCCGCAAAAACUUCCAGGCCUUUUUUGCACCUCAACCAAACAUACCUUAAAUGGCUUUCUUUUUGUUUAGCUGAGUUGAAACUACAUAAUGAACUAGUUUUGUUGUGAAUUUGUUAUUCUUUUUUUAAUAUAGCAGGAUUUUACCUUACAGUUAACCCAAAGAGUACCUCGAUUGCUUGGGAAAUAAUUAGAGUAUGCAUAUAUAUGAUGUGUAGCUUUAGAAAAUGAUAUGCUGCUCAUUUACUCUUUCUCAUGUUCUGUUCUCCCUCCAUUUACUCAUUGAACGAGAAAUUGUAGGUUGUUAAAAAUGUUGCUUCUCAAUCAUUGAAAGUGAAGAAGCUCAUGUACUUGUACCUCCUUUAUUAUUCUGAAAAGUAUGUACAUGUAAUCAGCCUAUAACUCUGAUGUUUAUAGCAUAUUCAGAUGGUCGACCUUUUUGUCAUUCUAUUUCAUUGGAAUUUAGUAUUCGAAUACAGGUCAAGAGUGGGAACAAAGUUUCGGAUUAUUCUAAUGCAUCAUUGAAAAAUUAUGCAGUAUGGGCUAACUCAGCGGUGUGUUGUGUUUUAUUUUCGGAGCUUAAGGCUUUGCUUCAUACUGUUCCGGAAGUUGCGCGAUUGAUUGGGGCUAAAAAUACAGACCUGGUCUUAUGAACCAGUGAUCAGGAUGAUGAAGGGAAGGUAAAAGCUGUUUUGCAGGCAGCAUUCACACACCUAAUGUCAGCUAAUAAAGAGAGAGUCACUGAAGCAGUAAAUAGUUUGAAAUUUCGUCUCCAUGAUGAAAGCAAGGAUAUAUCUGAACAAUUUAAUCACACAAACAGUCUGAAGCUGAUUGCUAGAGCUCAUCUGUAGUGUAUACUUCAAGGGCUAUUCGGCAUCCUGCCAGUGGAUAUGUACAGGGGAUAAAUGAUCUUGUUACACCAUUUCUAGUCAUUUUCCUAUCAGAACACUUGCAAGGGGUAUCGAUAAUUGGUCAAUGUCUGAUCUAUCUGCAGAGAAAAUUUCUAAUAGAGGCUGAUUGCUAUUGGUGCUUGUCAAAAUUACUGGAUGGUAUGCAAGAGCAAGACUAUUACAUGUUUGCUCAACCAGGAAUUCAGAGGCUUGUUUUUAAGGUGAAGGAAUUGGUCAGGAGGAUUGAUGAUACCGAAAAAAGGGAAUAUUUAUUCAGUGAAUAAAGGAAAUGCCAAAAAUUGGGAGAAACCAAUCACUGAGAAUGUGGAUAAUUGCAUGUUUCCUCAAGAUGGUUCUUCACCAAAGUCCCUUAGAUACGUUGGAAGUAUGGUUGUAGAUAUCCAUAGAACAUUGCUUUAUGGUGGUAUCUUCAUGUACCUUGUUGAUAAGAAAAAUCCAGAUGGAAAGCUAAGGUUACAACUGCAGAUGAGUACAUGUUUAGCGUCCAAAGAAUCCCAGAAGGUAGAAGUGGCAAUUGGAAUAAUCAGAAGAAGUAGCCAGUGAUAAUCAUAAUACCAUGGACUAUUUAUUGAAUUAAAUCAGAACUUGUGCAUAACUACUGCUUAUAGGCCUGUUAGAUAGUUGAUACUUUGUAUAUGAAUUAUUAUUUUUUAUUUCCAAUACGAAAAAGUUAUAUAUUAUGUUUAAUA